rnacentral:rRNA from 1 species
CCUACGGGAGGCUGCAGUGGGGAAUAUUGGACAAUGGGGGGAACCCUGAGCCAGCCAUGCCGCGUGUGUGAAGAAGGCCCUCGGGUUGUAAAGCACUUUCAGUGAGGAAGAACGCCUGGUGGUUAAUACCCAUCAGGAAAGACAUCACUCACAGAAGAAGCACCGGCUAACUCCGUGCCAGCAGCCGCGGUAAUACGGAGGGUGCGAGCGUUAAUCGGAAUUACUGGGCGUAAAGCGCGCGUAGGUGGCUUGAUAAGCCGGUUGUGAAAGCCCCGGGCUCAACCUGGGAACGGCAUCCGGAACUGUCAAGCUAGAGUGCAGGAGAGGAAGGUAGAAUUCCCGGUGUAGCGGUGAAAUGCGUAGAGAUCGGGAGGAAUACCAGUGGCGAAGGCGGCCUUCUGGACUGACACUGACACUGAGGUGCGAAAGCGUGGGUAGCAAACAGGAUUAGAUACCCCUGUAGUC